rnacentral:rRNA from 1 species
CCUACGGGUGGCAGCAGUGGGGGAUAUUUCACAAUUGGUUAAACCCUGAUGCAGCGACGCCGCGUGUGGGAAGACGGUCCUCUGGAUUGUAAACCACUGUCCCCAGGGACGAAGAUGACGGUACCUGGGGAGGAAGCUCCGGCUAACUACGUGCCAGCAGCCGCGGUAAUACGUAGGGAGCGAGCGUUGUCCGGAAUUACUGGGUGUAAAGGGAGCGUAGGCGGGACUGCAAGUUGGGUGUCAAAUCUACCGGCUCAACCGGUAGCUGCGUUCAAAACUUCUUGUCUUGAGUGAAGUAGAGGCAGGCGGAAUUCCUAGUGUAGCGGUGAAAUGCGUAGAUAUUAGGAGGAACACCAGUGGCGAAGGCGGCCUGCUGGGCUUUAACUGACGCUGAGGCUCGAAAGCGUGGGGAGCAAACAGGAUUAGAUACCCCAGUAGUC